ACAGGGAAUCCCACUAAAACACUGCAGUGAGCAGCUGGACUUCCUGAUGCCUAGAGCCUGCACCAGACAGGCACCUGGAUCUACACCAGUUCUUUCUCUCCCCAGCAAAGACCUUGUGAUCAUUCACAAGGUCUAGCUUGAAAUUCAACGUUCUCGGGGUCCAUCUUCAGUUAUCUUGUCUUUUAUGAAUGGUCAUUGCCUAACCCUAGUAUAGGCCUUCAUUAGCCAGGAACAUGGGGACAGCCUAUAAUGAUGUCACCUGUGCACUCUCUCUGCUGGGCUCCACCUCUGAGCAUUUUGUCCCCUGUGACUCUCUGUGUGGCAAUUCAUCUGUGUUCACACAUCUUCCUUCAGGAAGUCUUUGUCCAGUGUCAGGACCUCAGGAAGGGAUGGGCUGGCUUAUGUUCAAGUACUUGGGACUCCUGCCCUUCUCAUCCUAUAGUUUUCUAUCCUCUCCUUCCCCCCUUACAAAUCCUGGUGCAUGUGGCCACCUUGCAGUCCAUGAUCUCUGUUUGAAGGACAGGAGGUCACAGGUGCAAAGUCAGACAACCUCAUCUGCAUCAUCAUAACAUUCUGUAGCAGGGAGGUAAACAGGGUGUGGCCCUCUCUCUUCCCCUGCCUGCCACUGUCCAAAGCGACAGUUCCUUCUCUUUAAUGCCUAGACCUAGAAGUCCUCUGAAGAUGGGGCUUGGCCAAGGGCCACCUGAGCAGAGGUCCUGUCUUUUCAGGUCCACCUGUUAUUUCCUAAAUGUGAGAAAUCUGGGGAUCCGAUCUCUUCACAUUGGGUGCUUCAAGAUACUGCACAAGAUAUGAAGGAUUGCCUGUCAAAUGUGUGCUGCUUCCCUUGGGGAUUCAAUCACAAAAGCCCAUCCUAUGUUCAACAACAGAGGCCCCCUGCAAAGAGGCAGUGUGCAGAGCCCAGUGAGGAAUGGCACAUGCAGAUGAAUUUCUACACCAGCUGGAUUAAAUCCUGCCACUUAGCAUACCUCCUCAGGAAGAAAUCCUGCUGGAACAUACUCAGGUGGUGUCUGAUGUAACUGAACUAGCAGAAGACAACAAAAGACGGUGAUCGGAGUGAGGUGGGUGGUGGGUGUUGUGAUGUGGAACUGUUGUCCACAGGGAACAGAUGUUCAUAUAGAAGACUCUGCCUGGGGAUCUAGGACCUG